rnacentral:rRNA from 1 species
GACGAACGCUGGCAGCGUGCUUAACACAUGCAAGUCGUACGGAAAGGCCCUGCUUUUGUGGGGUGCUCGAGUGGCGAACGGGUGAGUAACACGUGAGUAACCUGCCCUUGACUUUGGGAUAACUUCAGGAAACUGGGGCUAAUACCGGAUAGGAGCUCCUGCUGCAUGGUGGGGGUUGGAAAGUUUCGGCGGUUGGGGAUGGACUCGCGGCUUAUCAGCUUGUUGGUGGGGUAGUGGCUUACCAAGGCUUUGACGGGUAGCCGGCCUGAGAGGGUGACCGGCCACAUGGGGACUGAGAUACGGCCCAGACUCCUACGGGAGGCAGCAGUGGGGAAUAUUGCACAAUGGGCGGAAGCCUGAUGCAGCAACGCCGCGUGCGGGAUGACGGCCUUCGGGUUGUAAACCGCUUUCGCCUGUGACGAAGCGUGAGUGACGGUAAUGGGUAAAGAAGCACCGGCUAACUACGUG